rnacentral:rRNA from 1 species
CCUACGGGGGACAGCAGUCGAGAAUCAUUCACAAUGGGGGAAACCCUGAUGGUGCGACGCCGCGUGGGGGAAUGAAGGUCUUCGGAUUGUAAACCCCUGUCAUGUGGGAGCAAAUUAAAAAGAUAGUACCACACGAGGAAGAGACGGCUAACUCUGUGCCAGCAGCCGCGGUAAUACAGAGGUCUCAAGCGUUGUUCGGAAUCACUGGGCGUAAAGCGUGCGUAGGCUGUUUCGUAAGUCGUGUGUGAAAGGCGCGGGCUCAACCCGCGGACGGCACAUGAUACUGCGAGACUAGAGUAAUGGAGGGGGAACCGGAAUUCUCGGUGUAGCAGUGAAAUGCGUAGAUAUCGAGAGGAACACUCGUGGCGAAGGCGGGUUCCUGGACAUUAACUGACGCUGAGGCACGAAGGCCAGGGGAGCGAAAGGGAUUAGAUACCCGGGUAGUC